GUCUGGGUGGUGCAAUGGUUAACAUGUUCAUCUGCUAACUGAAAGGUUAAUGGUUCAAGUCCACCCCGAGGUG
rnacentral:tRNA from 1 species